rfam:Trichoderma virens Gv29-8 TRIVIscaffold_86, whole genome shotgun sequence.
GACACUUUGGCCGAGUGGUUAAGGCGAUGCCCUGCUAUCAAUUGGUAUCAUAGGCAUUGUGUUCGCACGCGCAGGUUCGAAUCCUGCAGGUGUCG